UUUUGCCGAAUCCCAUUAUUUUUAAAUGGGAGCGGGGGAACCAAUGAAUUUUAGGGGCGAAUCCAUUUAUGGUAAGGUUACCCUUUAACCUGAGUCCGACAGCUAACUCCGUAGGCGUUAUUAAAGGGA
rnacentral:sRNA from 1 species